GUUUAUCAUACAAUAAGUAAAAAGGAGAUAUGAGCAUCAGUUAGGCCAUCCACGUCCUUCAAUUUAGUCAGCCAAUCAUGAGGUUUUCUAACGCCACGUCACUUCCUCUAUUAAUCGAGAGUAUAUAACAAUGGGUCAACUUAUGUGGGCUACAAUUCUAUGUUAAAUGGUCCAUCGUUAAUGAGCACAAAAGAACUCAAAUCCUGUCACCGUCGUCCCGACUCUUCCACUUCAUCUGAAUCGAUUCGACUAGCUGCAAAUUUCAGUUCUCUGUAUUAAUCAGCAGAUUCACCAUCCACUCCUACCCAUCAAAUAAAAUUCUUGAAUCAUAUCUUUAAUUUAUUCCUUACCCAAUUCAUUUUUUUUUAAAAUCAAUGGAUUAGCGACGCAACCAAAAGCGUACCCCUCCGCUCCGCUGAUCCCGAUACUGGUAACGACGGCUGAGCCACAAAGACAGCUCAAUCAGGUUCAAAAUUGGAUCAACGUGCUUGAUUUUUUUGUUUCAUUCGACAGAUAAGUUUUCAGCUCUCAAAUCAUUGUACAAAGUUAAGCCAAAAAAUAAUUCUUAUUUGAAAGUUACGAUCUUUGCAAAAUUAAUCUUUUAUUGAUCUGCUUCUUCUACUUCUUCUGUGUAGGCUGGUUCUGAAAUAUUAGACAUACAAUUGCAUGAGCUGGCAUCUCCACAUGACGCUCAAGGGAAGAAAGUCAAUCAACAGAACCCAAAUCAACAGAGAUCACCAGAUGAUGCUGAAAGGGAAGCUAGACAAAUGGUUCUUAGUCAAAUAUUGUUUUUCCACUCUCUCGAGAGAAGAGUUAUAUGCCUAGAGGAUGUUAUUCUGAGGGCUGCUCAAAUGGAACAGAUAGUUGAGAAGGUUUGUGAGGAGCGGAUUAAUACUGGAGUUUCAAAGAUUUCCGUUAAUUUUUACGAGCAGUUUCAUUUUUUCAAUGGUUGGAAGUUGACGGAUACUAUUUGUUUUACUUCAAAACAGUUCACACCAAUGAGAAUUUCAGGUAAAACAUUUGAGUUUUGUUAGUUAUGCAAAUUGGAAUUAGCAUAAACAAUGUUCAAAGUUUUUACUUUUUCGUAGUAGAGAAUUACGUUUUCACAGUUCAAGCUGAUGAAUUUUUAAUCAAGAAACCAUCAAACUGAAGAAGCAAGAUUUUGUUUUAUUUCUUAAAUAUUGUGUGCUAGUUUAUAGAUUGUUGCAGAAGAGCCAACUUCACUUCUUCACACAUGAGAGAAUCUGAUUUCAGUGGUUCAACCCUCAAUGGCACCUAUUUUGAGAAAUCAGUUGCAUACAAAGCUAACUUCGCAGAGUUUGAGCAUUUGAGACCUUGACGAUGUCUAUCUUCUAUUCUACGAAACAUUCUCUUAGAACUUCCCCCUGCUAAACACUUGACUGGCUUCUCAGAGAUUUUGUUUUCAAACUAGAGGUUUUAGCAACAAGAAUCUGUGAUUUAUGGGUUUACUUCCAUCUGUGUCAAUCUUUAUGAGCUGGCACAGCCAGGGAGUCUUCAUCCUAAACCGUUGGCAUCUCCAGUGUCACUCUUAAAAUCAGGGUAGGAGGCCCUCCACUGCCGAGAAAAUAUAUGAUCAAGAAAGCACAUUCUGUCGCUCCUGAAAUGUUGUGGAUGGUCUUGGUACCGUUGCCUCAGUAAAUUAAUAAAAGCAUCCAUUUUCUGCAUAUAAAACAAUACAAGUCAGAAAACUUACAGACGACUUACAGACAACUUACAGACGAC